GAAAGUCAACUACUCAAAGACAAAGUUAAUUGUAUCCAAUAUCCCUCUAUAUAACAGCGACCCCUUUAACUUUGAGGAUAAUGUGGUAGAUACGGUCUCAGAUUUUAAGUACCUAGGAACCAGAUUAAUGUCAUUAGGCACCACCAUUUUGGAUACUAAGUCGAGGACCAACAAGGCCAGAUCCCGAUAUCAUCAGCUAACUAAAUUAUGGUCGUCCAACCAGAUAUCUACGAACCUAAAAAUAAGACUUAAAUCCCUAAUUCUACCCAUCUUAACAUACGGGUUGGAAACAUGGCAGGACACUAAAAGCAACAUCAACACAUCCCAGACCUUCAUAAACAAGUGCUUGAGAAGAAUCACUAAAACUUACUAUCCAUACAACACCCCAAACACAACUCUCUGGAACAGGUGUGACAUCCUACCUAUCAAACGACUCAUUCCUUUGAGGAGAUUAGAAUUACUCGGCCACUGCUUAAGACAUUCACGAGAUAAUAUGAUAUUUUCGUCCAUGGAGUGGACCCCGGAUUAUGAAAGGCGAAGAAUCCCCAAAUACUAUUGGCUGGCAAAAUGUCUGAAGGACAUGGACUUGAUCAAUCUUACGUUUAUAGAUUUUCUUGCACUCAGCAAAAACAAGAAACAUUUAAAGGAACAUCUACAAUACAUGCUUAAAUAUGGUUUAAACUAGAGCAGGAAUCGUGGACGUAUCAGACUAUUUCUCGCACUGCCUUAUUUCCAAUCUCUUAUCCCCAGUCUAAUGACAACUUAUGUUUUGGCGCAAUAGGAAUUAUGAAGUCAAUGAUAAUCUUAAAACCAUGAAUAUUAAUAAUGAUAACCAUCUCCAGGCUCAAUAUAAUAAUGAUAAUAGUGAAUAACAUGGAUUCUAUAGACAUUGCGUUAUCUUCCAAGGAUAUACUUACCAAACAUUAAAAAAAAAUUUUUUCCCAUCUCUUAAAUCUAACCAGGUGUCAGGUACAUUAUUAUUAUUAAUAUUAGCUACAAUUCUUAACACUAUUUUGCCGGUAACGGAACUAAUAGAUCCCCUCUUUCUUACUCCUCUCUUCUUUACUAUGCUAGCUGACUACAUAGUGGUACCGUCCACUAUAAUAAAACGGGUAUACAUCAUGUAUAGGAUCUAUAUACUAGUGAAUAUACAUGGUGCACGCUACAACUCCUGGUGGGUGAUGAAAUUGCACUUCGUGCAAUUUCUGGCGUGGUAAUGAAUGAAUGAAUGAAAUUAGUAAGUCACUUUUUUAAAAAACUACUAUAAUUCAACAUUUUUAGGAAAAAGUAUUUUUAUAUAAAAUUAUCUGAAAACCCAAAAUUAUUUUUAUAAAAAUAUAAUAUAGCCAAAGGCCUACAAUAAAUGGACCUAAACCAAUAAAAUUUAUGGUGGAAAACCCGGCCUAAUAGGGCUCCUUAUCUAUAAGAAAAUCCUGAGUAGAGGUCUGUAUUGGGAGGGUUUUUGGACCAAAAGCCCAAUUUAACCCGCCCACCCAGUCCGCCCAUAGUUUUUAAAAAAAUAUAUACCCGCCCGCCCCGCCCAUUUGUCUAAAAUUCCUCACCCGCCCGCCUGCACAUUAGUCUUAAAUUUUUUACCCGCCCGCCCAUUAUUUAUAAAAAUUUUUUAACCCAAGCCCGCUUAAAAAAUUAAUUAUCGUAAUUCUUUCAUUUUUUAAGUAUCUAAUAAAAAUAUUUCAGCAUUACACCUACAAAAAGUUUAUAAUUUAGGAAAUUAAUAUAAGUAUAAAAAUAAUCAAUGUAAAUUAUGGACAAUUUAUUUGAUCAAAUUGAAUAUUUAUGAAAAAAAUAUAAAUGUAAAAUUAAUAUUAUAUGUAAUUAUUAUGCAAAAAUAAUAAUGAAUCGACAUUUUCUGGAUUCAAACACGUUCUUCUUUGUUCUAAAAAUCUUCCAGCAAUGCUAAAUCCGCGUUCGGAAGAAGCACUAGUUUUAUUACAAUCCCAUAAAAGGAAACUUUUAAAAGACAAAAAUGUUUAUUUAUUCUAAGAAAAAAGUUUUAUUGUUGUUGUGUUUAUUACAUAAUAUAGUUAGGUAAAUGUUCUUCACUUAAAAAAAAACGAUUGGUACAAUAAAAAAAUAAAUAUUGUUAUAGAUCAUUUAAACAAUUAUUUUUUUUAGUUUGUUUUUGAACAAAAAUUUUAAAUUUCCUCAACCCCGCCCAUUAUUUAAAUUUCUUAACCCGCCCAUAGUUUUAAAUUUUUUUUAACCCGCUCGCCCACCUGCCCAUUUUCGAAAUUUUUUUUACCCACCUAUGUUUAAUUGUAUCAAAUAUAAUAUUUAUAAAAAAAUAUUACAUUCCAUAAUAAAUUUAUAAUUUUAUGUAUUAUUUCAAAAUAUUUGCCGGGGUGGCUCAGUGGUGUAUGAUGUAGGCUUGGAAACAGAAGGUCCCAUUCAACCCUUCUAAGGAACUAAAAAUUUUCGAGUUUUUCUUCGAUGACGGAUGUGUAUAGACAUAUGAUAUGAUAAAUUUCUGAGUUUGAGUUAAGAAAUGCCACCCCGGUCACCGACGGGCUUGGACAGCCGGGUGCUGGGAUACUCGUCCAACCAAAUAAGACGGCCAGCUGAACUCGUGGGUCAUUAAAGGAUCAAACGAUUUCGUGGCCAUAGCUAGAAUAAUGGUGACAUCGGGGGCCUUUCAAGCUCAAUGUCAAUCAAGAUAAAAUGGACUAGAUUACGAUACUCCGGUGGAAGAUCCAGAUAGAAACUAUCAGAAAUACAAAUUAGAUAAAAAUAGAUAGCAUGAGUAUUAAAGUGGAGAAAGGAAGGAGCUUACCGCCUGAAAAAGGGAAAAAAAAAUUUUAAAAUAUUUAAAUUUGUUACAAAUUUAAAAAAAUUAGAAUGACUAAAAAGCAAACAUGCAACACUCUCGGGGUUAAUUUAGAUUUAUGUUAGUAACACAGUUGAUUAUCACCAACCAAUGUUUAUUUGUUUUUCCUAUCCUAAAUUAUGAUGCCUGAAAUAAUUUUGUUGAAUGAUGGUUAUACUCAAUUAAUAUGAAUAAUAUUUCUAAAUAAUAUCCUAGGAAAUUUUUGCAUUGAGGUUGAAGGCAUAAUUUUCUUAAAUUACUUUGAUUUGGAUAUGUUAAAUCUAAUUUUAUGUUAUUAAUUUGUCAAAUAAAGUAGAACCUACGGUAUUAUUGAAACAAUUGGGCCUAAACAGGUUUGAAUAUUUUUAAAAAUCAUUUUUUUCCAGCUGUAAAAUAAAUUUGUAUACAAGUUGCCUGGUUGGACCUAUAAUAAAUUUUUAUGAAGGGAAAAGACAUAAAUUUGGUAAUCUUAAUUUUAAAAAAAUGCAAAUUUUAGACUUGGUUCUUAGAAAUAAUUUGCACAAGUUGUUCUGUCUCACCGUAAAAAAUAUUAUGCCCAAGUUACACGGCAAAUUUUUUUUACCCGCUCUAGCCCGAUUUUUUAGGCAGGGUCAUAUCGUACUGACCUCUCGACGACUAACUUAUUUAUUUAGCUCAAUAAGAAAGUGUGAUACAAAAUUUUUGAUCAACAGAAUUAAAAACAUUUGCUGACUCGUCAACCUCUAUGAUCAGUUAACCCCGGUCUCCCCUUACAAUAACUUUCUUUAGACAAAACAGCACAAAUAAAAUUGUAUUGGAAAAUAAUAAUAUAUAGAAUGAUAAGUUUUUUAAGAUACCACCCAUCCCUUCUCGUCAUUUGAUACAUCAAAUUUAUUAAACGAUAAAUUUAUAAUUUUACAUAUAUAAUAUAAUGUAUAUUUUUUUAUUUG